GACCUGAUGCAGCCAUGCCGCGUGUGUGAAGAAGGCCUUCGGGUUGUAAAGCACUUUCAGUUGUGAGGAAAGGUUGGUAGUUAAUACCUGCCAGCUGUGACGUUAACAACAGAAGAAGCACCGGCUAACUCCGUGCCAGCAGCCGCGGUAAUACGGAGGGUGCGAGCGUUAAUCGGAAUUACUGGGCGUAAAGCGCACGCAGGCGGUUUGUUAAGCUAGAUGUGAAAGCCCCGGGCUCAACCUGGGAUGGUCAUUUAGAACUGGCAGACUAGAGUCUUGGAGAGGGGAGUGGAAUUCCAGGUGUAGCGGUGAAAUGCGUAGAUAUCUGGAGGAACAUCAGUGGCGAAGGCGGCUCCCUGGCCAAAGACUGACGCUCAUGUGCGAAAGUGUGGGUAGCGAACAGGAUUAGAUACCCUGGUAGUCCACACCGUAAACGCUGUCUACUAGCUGUUUGUGAAUUUAAUUCGUGAGUAGCGAAGCUAACGCGCUAAGUAGACCGCCUGGGGAGUACGGCCGCAAGGUUAAAACUCAAAUG
rnacentral:rRNA from 1 species